rnacentral:rRNA from 1 species
GUGCUUAACACAUGCAAGUCGAACGAAGAGCGACGGAAGCUUGCUUCUAUCAAUCUUAGUGGCGAACGGGUGAGUAACGCGUAAUCAACCUGCCCUUCAGAGGGGGACAACAGUUGGAAACGACUGCUAAUACCGCAUACGAUCUAAUCUCGGCAUCGAGGAUGGAUGAAAGGUGGCCUCUACAUGUAAGCUAUCACUGAAGGAGGGGAUUGCGUCUGAUUAGCUAGUUGGAGGGGUAACGGCCCACCAAGGCGAUGAUCAGUAGCCGGUCUGAGAGGAUGAACGGCCACAUUGGGACUGAGACACGGCCCAGACUCCUACGGGAGGCAGCAGUGGGGAAUCUUCCGCAAUGGACGAAAGUCUGACGGAGCAACGCCGCGUGAGUGAUGACGGCCUUCGGGUUGUAAAGCUCUGUUAAUCGGGACGAAAGGCCUUCUUGCGAAUAGUGAGAAGGAUUGACGGUACCGGAAUAGAAAGCCACGGCUAACUAC